UCUCCGUUGGUGAACCAGCGGAGGGAUCAUUACAGAGUUGAAAAACUCCAACCCCUGUGAACAUACCUUUACUGUUGCUUCGGCGGACGAUGGUCCCCCCCCCCCCCCCGGGGGGCCGGACGCCGCCGGAGGUUACAAACCCUGAAUUUUAGUGUAUCUCUGAGUACAAAACCAAAUAAUUAAAACUUUCAACAACGGAUCUCUUGGUUCUGGCAUCGAUGAAGAACGCAGCGAAAUGCGAUAAGUAAUGUGAAUUGCAGAAUUCAGUGAAUCAUCGAAUCUUUGAACGCACAUUGCGCCCGCCGGUAUUCCGGCGGGCAUGCCUGUCCGAGCGUCAUUUCACCACUCAAGCCCAGCUUGGUGUUGGGGCACCCGGCCGCCCGGCGGUCGGGGCCCCCAAGAACAUCGGCGGUCUCGCUAGGACCCUGAACGCAGUAACUCGCGGUAAAACGCGCUUCGUUCGGUGGCUUCCCGGCGGGCUCCAGCCGCUAAACCCCCUAAACUUUUUAGGUUGACCUCGGAUCAGGUAGGAAUACCCGCUGAACUUAA
rnacentral:rRNA from 1 species